rnacentral:rRNA from 2 species
CAUGCAAGUCGAACGAACUCUGGUAUUGAUUGGUGCUUGCAUCAUGAUUUACAUUUGAGUGAGUGGCGAACUGGUGAGUAACACGUGGGAAACCUGCCCAGAAGCGGGGGAUAACACCUGGAAACAGAUGCUAAUACCGCAUAACAACUUGGACCGCAUGGUCCGAGCUUGAAAGAUGGCUUCGGCUAUCACUUUUGGAUGGUCCCGCGGCGUAUUAGCUAGAUGGUGGGGUAACGGCUCACCAUGGCAAUGAUACGUAGCCGACCUGAGAGGGUAAUCGGCCACAUUGGGACUGAGACACGGCCCAAACUCCUACGGGAGGCAGCAGUAGGGAAUCUUCCACAAUGGACGAAAGUCUGAUGGAGCAACGCCGCGUGAGUGAAGAAGGGUUUCGGCUCGUAAAACUCUGUUGUUAAAGAAGAACAUAUCUGAGAGUAACUGUUCAGGUAUUGACGGUAUUUAACCAGAAAGCCACGGCUAACUACGUGCCAGCAGCCGCGGUAAUACGUAGGUGGCAAGCGUUGUCCGGAUUUAUUGGGCGUAAAGCGAGCGCAGGCGGUUUUUUAAGUCUGAUGUGAAAGCCUUCGGCUCAACCGAAGAAGUGCAUCGGAAACUGGGAAACUUGAGUGCAGAAGAGGACAGUGGAACUCCAUGUGUAGCGGUGAAAUGCGUAGAUAUAUGGAAGAACACCAGUGGCGAAGGCGGCUGUCUGGUCUGUAACUGACGCUGAGGCUCGAAAGUAUGGGUAGCAAACAGGAUUAGAUACCCUGGUAGUCCAUACCGUAAACGAUGAAUGCUAAGUGUUGGAGGGUUUCCGCCCUUCAGUGCUGCAGCUAACGCAUUAAGCAUUCCGCCUGGGGAGUACGGCCGCAAGGCUGAAACUCAAAGGAAUUGACGGGGGCCCGCACAAGCGGUGGAGCAUGUGGUUUAAUUCGAAGCUACGCGAAGAACCUUACCAGGUCUUGACAUACUAUGCAAAUCUAAGAGAUUAGACGUUCCCUUCGGGGACAUGGAUACAGGUGGUGCAUGGUUGUCGUCAGCUCGUGUCGUGAGAUGUUGGGUUAAGUCCCGCAACGAGCGCAACCCUUAUUAUCAGUUGCCAGCAUUAAGUUGGGCACUCUGGUGAGACUGCCGGUGACAAACCGGAGGAAGGUGGGGAUGACGUCAAAUCAUCAUGCCCCUUAUGACCUGGGCUACACACGUGCUACAAUGGAUGGUACAACGAGUUGCGAACUCGCGAGAGUAAGCUAAUCUCUUAAAGCCAUUCUCAGUUCGGAUUGUAGGCUGCAACUCGCCUACAUGAAGUCGGAAUCGCUAGUAAUCGCGGAUCAGCAUGCCGCGGUGAAUACGUUCCCGGGCCUUGUACACACCGCCCGUCACACCAUGAGAGUUUGUAACACCCAAAGUCGGUGGGGUAACCUUUUAGGAACCAGCCGCC